rnacentral:rRNA from 1 species
UACGAAGGGGGCUAGCGUUGCUCGGAAUCACUGGGCGUAAAGGGUGCGUAGGCGGGUUAUUAAGUCAGAGGUGAAAUCCUGGAGCUCAACUCCAGAACUGCCUUUGAUACUGAUAGUCUUGAGCAUGGGAGAGGUGAGUGGAACUGCGAGUGUAGAGGUGAAAAUUCGUAGAUAUUCGCAAGAACACCAGUGGCGAAGGCGGCUCACUGGCCCAUUACUGACGCUGAGGCACGAAAGCGUGGGGAGCAAACAGGG